UACGUAGGUGGCAAGCGUUGUCCGGAUUUAUUGGGCGUAAAGCGCGCGCAGGCGGUGAGGUAAGUCCGUCGUGAAAUCUCCCGGCUCAACUGGGAGGGUGCGGGGGAGACUGCCUGACUGGAGGCACUCAGAGGCCGGUGGAAUUCCCGGUGGAGUGGUGAAAUAGCGUGAGAGAUCGGGAGGAACACCAGUGGCGAAGGCGGCCGGCUGGGGGUGACCUGGACGCUGAGGCGCGAAAGCGUGGGGAGCGAACCGG
rnacentral:rRNA from 1 species